UGCAGUCGAGCGGUAGCACAGAGAGCUUGCUCUCGGGUGACGAGCGGCGGACGGGUGAGUAAUGUCUGGGAAACUGCCUGAUGGAGGGGGAUAACUACUGGAAACGGUAGCUAAUACCGCAUAACGUCGCAAGACCAAAGUGGGGGACCUUCGGGCCUCAUGCCAUCAGAUGUGCCCAGAUGGGAUUAGCUAGUAGGUGGGGUAACGGCUCACCUAGGCGACGAUCCCUAGCUGGUCUGAGAGGAUGACCAGCCACACUGGAACUGAGACACGGUCCAGACUCCUACGGGAGGCAGCAGUGGGGAAUAUUGCACAAUGGGCGCAAGCCUGAUGCAGCCAUGCCGCGUGUGUGAAGAAGGCCUUCGGGUUGUAAAGCACUUUCAGCGGGGAGGAAGGCGAUGAGGUUAAUAACCUCGUCGAUUGACGUUACCCGCAGAAGAAGCACCGGCUAACUCCGUGCCAGCAGCCGCGGUAAUACGGAGGGUGCAAGCGUUAAUCGGAAUUACUGGGCGUAAAGCGCACGCAGGCGGUCUGUCAAGUCGGAUGUGAAAUCCCCGGGCUCAACCUGGGAACUGCAUUCGAAACUGGCAGGCUAGAGUCUUGUAGAGGGGGGUAGAAUUCCAGGUGUAGCGGUGAAAUGCGUAGAGAUCUGGAGGAAUACCGGUGGCGAAGGCGGCCCCCUGGACAAAGACUGACGCUCAGGUGCGAAAGCGUGGGGAGCAAACAGGAUUAGAUACCCUGGUAGUCCACGCCGUAAACGAUGUCGAUUUGGAGGUUGUGCCCUUGAGGCGUGGCUUCCGGAGCUAACGCGUUAAAUCGACCGCCUGGGGAGUACGGCCGCAAGGUUAAAACUCAAAUGAAUUGACGGGGGCCCGCACAAGCGGUGGAGCAUGUGGUUUAAUUCGAUGCAACGCGAAGAACCUUACCUGGUCUUGACUUCACAGAACUUUCCAGAAAUGGAUUGGUGCCUUCGGGAACUGUGAAACAGGUGCU
rnacentral:rRNA from 1 species